GAUGAAGAACGUAGCGAAAUGCGAUAAGUAAUGUGAAUUGCAGUAUUCAGUGAAUCAUCGAAUCUUUGAACGCACAUUGCGCCCGCCAGUAUUCUGGCGGGCAUGCCUGUUCGAGCGUCAUUUCAACCAUCAAGCCCCCGGCUUGUGUUGGGGACCUGCGGCUGCCGCAGGCCCUGAAAAGCAGUGGCGGGCUCGCUGUCACACCGAGCGUAGUAGCAUACAUCUCGCUCUGGGCGUGCUGCGGGUUCCGGCCGUUAAACCACCUUCAUAACCCAAGGUUGACCUCGGAUCAGGUAGGAAGACCCGCUGAACUUAAGCAUAUCAAUAAGCGGAGGA
rnacentral:misc_RNA from 1 species